AGGAACCAGGAAGUAAGAUCUCCUGGUAAAGUGUUCAUUAACUUUCAACAGCCAUCAGAUUUUUGAAAGGGAGUCUCUUCUAAUUGCCUUUGGGAGGAAACAUUAUUAAGAUAAUUGGCAUGCUGAUCUGGGAAGGUAGGCAGAUCUGUCUUGUAACAGAGAUAAAAGUUUCCUUCGCCCGGGAGUCGGUUGUUCCCGACUGAUCCCGGGAAGCCCCGCCUGAGCCCCGGUCCGGGGCGGGCAGCUGGGAGCCGGGGCGCCGCUGUCACCCGCGCCUCUGCCUGUCACUUACCGUUGCGAAAAGCGCCGGCCGGGGCGAGGACGAGGGCGAGCACGGCGCAGAGGAGCGGCAGCCCCCUCUCCAUUCUCCCUUCUCCGGGUCCGCAGGCAGACGCGGGAGAACGAGGACGUGGGGGGAAAUGCAGCAAAGAGGGGAAUCUAAGCGAUCCGAAGAGCCCCAACUCCGCCUAGAGCUCUACAAUCCUCAGCCCGUCUUGGAGAAAAGAAAACAGCGAGGCAAUGCCUGGA